UACGUAGGGGGCAAGCGUUGGCCGGAUUUAUUGGGCGUAAAGAGCGUGUAGGCGGCCAGACAGGUCCGUUGUGAAAACUCGAGGCUCAACCUCGAGAUGUCGAUGGAAACCGUCUGGCUAGAGUCCGGAAGAGGAGUGUGGAAUUCCUGGUGUAGCGGUGAAAUGCGCAGAUAUCGGGAAGAACACCUAUGGCGAAGGCAGCUCGCUGGGACGUUACUGACGCUGAGACGCGAAAGCGUGGGGAGCAAACAGG
rnacentral:rRNA from 1 species